CAUAUUAAAUAAUUAAAUUAAAAUAUUAAUUGUAUAUAUUUUUUUUUCAUAAAUAUACCAAAUAACAGACAUAUUUUUAAUUUCUACAAAAUUUAAUUUUUUAUUUUUAUCUUUGUAUAAGUCCUAACGUUUUCAAAUAUAAUUAACUAUAAAUAUAAUACUUAAUUUUGAUUAGUGAAUGAGUUAAAUUAAUUUUUUCACCUUUCUUGUAUUAUUAGGUAAAAUGUUUUGUGAAAAAAAUAUUUUUAUAUAAUUUUAACAAAUGGAAGUUUGAAAAGAUAUAUAUUUAUAAUAAUAAAAAUAUAAUUUUACUUUUUUACUAUUAUAAAAUAAAUCAUAUUAUAACAAUAACAAAUCUAAAGAACGACUAUAAAUAUUACUAAACUUUUACAAAAA
rnacentral:lncRNA from 1 species